AUUGAACGCUGGCGGCAUGCCUUACACAUGCAAGUCGAACGGUAACAGGUCUUCGGAUGCUGACGAGUGGCGAACGGGUGAGUAAUACAUCGGAACGUGCCUAGUAGUGGGGGAUAACUACUCGAAAGAGUGGCUAAUACCGCAUGAGAUCUACGGAUGAAAGCAGGGGAUCGCAAGACCUUGUGCUACUAGAGCGGCCGAUGGCAGAUUAGGUAGUUGGUGGGAUAAAAGCUUACCAAGCCGACGAUCUGUAGCUGGUCUGAGAGGACGAUCAGCCACACUGGGACUGAGACACGGCCCAGACUCCGACGGGAGGCAGCGGUGGGGAAUUUUGGACAAUGGGCGCAAGCCUGAUCCAGCAAUGCCGCGUGCAGGAUGAAGGCCUUCGGGUUGUAAACUGCUUUUGUACGGAACGAAAAGCCCUGGGUUAAUACCCUGGGGCCAUGACGGUACCGUAAGAAUAAGCACCGGCUAACUACGUGCCAGCCGCCGCGGUAAGAC
rnacentral:rRNA from 1 species